AAAAUAUUAAUUUAAUUCAAAAUAUUAAUUUUGGAAAUUAAAAAUAUUUAA
rnacentral:tRNA from 1 species